GUGGAUAUUUACAAAUGCACCGUUGGAUUCUUUGUCGUUCAAGUGAAUGUUGACUAUUUACAGGCCCUCCCUAUCCUGAAGACAUUAGCUGAGAGUCUGGCACCUUUUAAAAGUCUGAUCAUCAAUUGUCUCUCUGGGCGGCCACCUAUGAGACUUCAUCUGUGUGGUUAUACCUUAUUGGUGUGGAUGUUGUCUAAAUUUCGGUAGCCAUGGCACAAGAAUAUAGAUGUGGAGAAAGUUUGGGACCUCAAGAGAAAGAGUGGAUGUCUACAGCUGCACAAGGAAGGGCAAACCAGCAGAGCUCCUGGGACCUGCUGAAGGAGGAAAGAUGCCCGAGAGCUGGGCAGAGGAAAAUCCCUCCUGCUUUCAACAACUAUGCAUUUCCAAAUGUCGAAAGAGAGAUUGCAGAGCUCAACAACAUGAAUAUUUUCUGGCUUACCUGCCAAUGGUUUUUUUCUCCCCCUAAAAUGAAACAAUAUCCAUUAUCUCUAGCGACAUGUCUAUUUUAACUUUGUCACUGUUAACAGUGGUUACUGGUAUUCCAGUACUUUUUCCUAAUGCGUAUAGUGUUGUUUUGAUUUGUAUGCCUUUGAUGCUUAUUAUACUCAGAACAGUAGAUGGGCCUUUUCUUGUGCUUGUGUUCUGUCAAAGAAUUUUUCUUAGUUCAACAUAUUCUUUCUUUAAAACUUGUUUUAACUGCAGUGAUGCCAGAAAGUUUCAAAAAGACAGUUCCUCACUUUUUCUUGGCAGCAGUUCUGGUGUUAGAAGGUAAUAACACAUAGUGAAAUCAUGAUUUAUUUAAAGUAGAAAUUUUGAUUUCUACAACAAAAAUCUUGAUUUUUAACCACCAUAAAUUUCCUGUAGUAAUCCCAAGGGAUGCUGUAAAAAGAAUAAGGUGGGGUAGGGGUGGGAGUGGAAGGGGUGGACAACUUCCUGACCCCAGUGCAAUCUUGAAGGAGGAGUAAGAGUUAGAGGAGUAAAGGGUGGAUAAGAAUAAAACAGGAGGAGGAAGGAAGAGAAUUGAAUGGAGUUGUGUUCCAGCAGAAGUUACCACUUGGCUUCACCUGAAGUCUCAUGAGAACCCGGUGCAUUCAAGAAAUUUUAACUGGUUUCCUUUCCCUUUGACUGGAGCUCAGGGUUCAGGGAGCAUGGUGGGAAGAGUGUGGAGAGAUUGGGCUGUUAAUUAGGGAGAUUUAUCUUGCACUUAGGAAAUUCUGACAUUGCAAAAACAGAGAGGCUAUCUCCUUGAGGAUUUAAGCGAAGGAGGCUAAGACUCGUGCUAAUAUGCACCUUAUAAACAGUCUUGAAUAGGCAAAGUGAUCAGUUUUUAAAAUAAGCAUUAUUGCAGACACACAAGACUAUGUUUUAAGAUCAAACUUACAUUCUAGUUAGAGGAUUUAUUUUACUUUGUCACAAAAAUGAAAAGGUUGGCAAAAAAAAAAAAAAAAAGACUUCCUGCCACAAGGUUUUAUCUUUGAACACUUUAUUGGUUUGCGUUUUGAUUAAUUUUUUUUCAAGUUAAUAAGAGUUUAAAUGAUCAAGUUAAUACAUUUGUGAGGAAAAUCUCACUUAGAAAUCAGAGAUUUUUAAGUUUAGGGGAUUAGAUUAAAAAUAAUUUUAUUCGAAAGUUAGGCAUAAAAUGUAUGUAUAUUUGCGUAUGUGCAUAGUUUUUUAAAAAAACUGGAAGGAUGUGGUAUGCAUUAAAGAAAGAUACUUUGUUUGCUCCUGCUUUCAUUUCUGUUGACAAGUUGCCAGAAUUAUUUGUAUAGGGCUUCUAUUUUCGGAACCAUGAUAUAAAUAAAGGAUUCAAAAUGUU
rnacentral:sRNA from 1 species